GAGGAGGCGGGACCAUCUCCGGAUUGGGGGUUGUCACCCGAGGGCAGAGCGUCGGCGGGAUCCGCGCCCAUUCGGGUCCUGGGCGGGGCUCUCACAUCUUACGGGUGAUUGCUGCCAGAGAGCCAAGCGGUUUAAAAACCAUGCAGCCCAGGAUGCUGGAGCCAGAGCCUGGAGGUGACUUGGCAGCCCUCUCUCCUUGAAGAUCCACAGACAAAGGGUGGUGAACAGAGGGGGUGAUGAAGACUGGAAAAAAGGUCACCAGUGAAGGGCGACCUCUUCUGACUCAAAGCAACAGAAAAGUAAGCUGAGGCCAGCUUAUCCCAGGCUCCUGCCCUCUGCCCAGGCAAACUGCAAUGUGAACCUCUGGGUCUGUUCCUCAGCUCACAAUCCCUCUCCAACCCCACCCUGUCCCUGUCACUUGGGGCUCAGCUCUGGGACACACACACUGCACCAGCAUCUUUGAGAUGCUGAGUUCCCAAGUCUGGAUGGGAGUCACGUGUCAUCUGGUCAACCUUCCCCCAGAGCAGAGGAAUCAAGUCACACACCAGGGGGGAUCAGCCUGGCCUCAGACCCCACCAGGCCAACUCCACGCAUGAAGGUGGAGGGCCAGCCGCAGAGCUCAGGGCAGGGUGGUGUCAUUAAAGUGUGAAGUCAGCAGGUAGUGCUGGGAGGUGUGUGGGGGGUGGGGGGGUAAUACUGGACUGUGGUUACCCCCCAGCCCUUCUUAGAAACCCUGCAGGACAAAAUCCAGCCACCAGAGGGCGACUUGCACACCUGGGUCCGAAUGCACUGGGUCCUCCUGAAAUGUGGAUAUUUUGGGGAUAGGUCAUAAUGUAAACACUGCAAAAAAGGAUAAUGUAGAAUCAAUUUUAAAAAAAAGAAGAUACAGGAGGGCCGGCCCGUGGCUCACUUGGUUAGAGUGUGGUGCUGAGAACACCAAGUUCAAGAGUUCGGAUCCCUGUACUUGCCAGCUUCCAAAACACUCGCCUCCAAAAAACCAAUGUUUCCUUACAUACAGUGACAGUUCUCAGAGAAUGAGGCCAUGUUGGGGAAGCCCAAGGCUUUUGCCUUUCGAGGGACUCUGAGGGCCCUUGACUUCCUGUUUAAGGGGGGGUGACUUUGUGUUUUCUUCCUCAUCUCCUCCAGCAGGGGCGGCACCCAGAGGGCUGGGGGAGGGGUUGUGUGAUGAGGUAGAUUGAUGUAGCUUAUGCCAUUUUUACUGUUUGAAAAUGUUCUUGUUUGAAAGCCCCCCAACACCUGUGGUGAAAAUUGAAGGUUAAAAAUUGUCCUGUACUUAGACAAAUUUUAGGUUCUGCCUGCCUUUGCUGUUUCCCGCCUAUGCUGUCCCUGACUGACAACACCAAGAGCUAUAUCUGGAUGUAUCUAGACAACCUAAGAAGAAAACCACCCUGUGAAAAUUUUUGCUGUCCCUAAGUGAUUAACUGGCUUCUUUCAGCUUCUGUUACCAGCUUGUGCUAGGCCUCCCCAGCGUGUAUGUGUGUAACUAUAUGAUAACUGUAAGUAUGUGACUAUAUGAUUUUUUGCCUGUGUGACUAUGUGCCUUUUAAAGACCCCUUAAACUUAAACUCAAGGCUGCUUCCUUCCAAGACUUCCUGUGGUGGAACAGUUGCCAGCCGGCCAAUAAAACCCCCCUUUUAAAUUCUCAA